AACGAACGCUGGCGGCAUGCCUAACACAUGCAAGUCGAACGAAGGCUUCGGCCUUAGUGGCGCACGGGUGCGUAACGCGUGGGAAUCUGCCCCUUGGUUCGGAAUAACAGCUGGAAACGGCUGCUAAUACCGGAUGAUGACGAAAGUCCAAAGAUUUAUCGCCAGAGGAUGAGCCCGCGUUGGAUUAGGUAGUUGGCGGGGUAAAGGCCUACCAAGCCGACGAUCCAUAGCUGGUCUGAGAGGAUGAUCAGCCACACUGGGACUGAGACACGGCCCAGACUCCUACGGGAGGCAGCAGUGGGGAAUAUUGGACAAUGGGCGCAAGCCUGAUCCAGCAAUGCCGCGUGAGUGAUGAAGGCCCUAGGGUUGUAAAGCUCUUUUACCCGGGAAGAUAAUGACUGUACCGGGAGAAUAAGCCCCGGCUAACUCCGUG
rnacentral:rRNA from 1 species